rnacentral:snRNA from 1 species
UAAAAGGGCCUUUGCUGUCAGUAGCACACAGUUCCAAUCGGGCUGUGCGGAAUCGCAAUCAAGAGAUUUCGGAGGCAUAAUUUUUAUCCCUGGUGGCAGUUAGACUUCACAGUCUGACGCCCGG